CCUACGGGAGGCAGCAGUGAGGAAUAUUGGUCAAUGGACGAGAGUCUGAACCAGCCAAGUAGCGUGAAGGAUGACUGCCCUAUGGGUUGUAAACUUCUUUUAUAAAGGAAUAAAACGAGGCACGUGUGCCUUUUUGCAUGUACUUUAUGAAUAAGGAUCGGCUAACUCCGUGCCAGCAGCCGCGGUAAUACGGAGGAUCCGGGCGUUAUCCGGAUUUAUUGGGUUUAAAGGGAGCGUAGAUGGUUUGUUAAGUGUGUUGUGAAAGGUUGCGGCUCAACCGUGGAAUUGCAAUUGAUACUGGCAGUCUUGAGUGCAGUUGAGGUAGGCGGAAUUCGUGGUGUAGCGGUGAAAUGCUUAGAUAUCACGAAGAACCCCGAUUGCGAAGGCAGCUUACUAAACUGUGACUGACGUUGAUGCUCGAAAGUGUGGGUAUCAAACAGGAUUAGAUACCCUUGUAGUC
rnacentral:rRNA from 1 species